rnacentral:rRNA from 1 species
AUUGAACGCUGGCGGCAUGCCUUACACAUGCAAGUCGAACGGUAACAGGUUAAGCUGACGAGUGGCGAACGGGUGAGUAAUGUAUCGGAACGUGCCCAGUCGUGGGGGAUAACUGCUCGAAAGAGCAGCUAAUACCGCAUACGACCUGAGGGUGAAAGCGGGGGAUCGCAAGACCUCGCGCGAUUGGAGCGGCCGAUAUCAGAUUAGGUAGUUGGUGAGGUAAAGGCUCACCAAGCCGACGAUCUGUAGCUGGUCUGAGAGGACGACCAGCCACACUGGGACUGAGUCACGGCCCAGACUCCUACGGGAGGCAGCAGUGGGGAAUUUUGGACAAGGGGCGCAAGCCUGAUCCAGCCAUGCCGCGUGCGGGAAGAAGGCCUUCGGGUUGUAAACCGCUUUUGUCAGGGAAGAAAAGGUUCUGGCUAAUACCUGGGACUCAUGACGGUACCUGAAGAAUAAGCACCGGCUAACUACG